GGAUGUGAGGGCGAUCUGGCUGCAACAUCUGUUACAUCAUUGAUCGCCAAGAUUGAUUCAGCUGAUCAGGUGUCCCCUUCCUCCCUCACCGUUCCAUGUGCAUCCCUCCCUAAGCUGCAUGCUUGGUUGAAGAGGACCACCUUCCCAAAUAGAGGAGGAAUUGUUUUCUAUCAAGGGUACAGGAUAGCUGUUCUCCCCUGCUAGAACCUGCAAACAAGCUCUCAAAAAGAGAUAUUUUAUAUUCCACUCUUUCACACCUUUGUGAGAAUACCAGAAGGGACAGCUACCAUGUACAUAGGAGUGACUUUGCCAUGUCUUAGCUU
ensembl:misc_RNA 7SK 7SK RNA